rnacentral:lncRNA from 1 species
CAACUCUUGAACCUUGCCCCCUGCCCCCAUCGUGUUUAUGCAGGUGAUCUUGGAACAAACACACGCCGUUAUCAGCAAAUGGAAAACACCUGACUCAAAACCAAACAACAACAACAAAAAAGGGAAAUGUACUCACAGGUCUCCGGGCAAAUCUGGAUUGUGGAUUGAAAGCAAGAGGAACGAUGGGGAUGGAUGUUGUUCUGGAGCGGCUGCACGGCUGAGGUGGGAGGCUGGAACUGGAAGCCGGGGGAUGCUUUCCAUGUGCAUCUGGAAUGAAAUGUAGGGAUGGGUUGAUCCCAAGGGACAAAGCGAUGGAGAAGUUGCUAUCAGCCCAGGGUGAUUGGCACCGAAGGGGCUGGGCCAUCACAGCAAAGCAUCUCAAAGGUUGCUGUGGAUUAAGGAGAUUCUGGUACCGGGCUGGUGCUGCCCAAUGGCAGUGCUGCCCAUGGAAAUGAAGGACUGCUGCAAGAUGGAGGCCAAAGGAAUUUCUGGCAUGACUUACGCUGGUAGAUCUCCAUCACUGCCAUGGCAAGAGCAGCAGCUUGCCUCUGCAAAGCAAUCUGCACCAUUGUCCUUUAUUUAGGAUACAACGUUGACCCAGACCUCAGAGGGCUUCCUGUAGGAUCCAGCCCGCUGUGGCCAAGGCAGAUGGCACAGGGUGGGGAACGACAUCAGGGAUGUGGGUGAAGGUGGAAAACCGCACUGUGAGUUAAUGGUGGGAGCUGCUUGCCUCUCAGGAGGUGAACUGACCUCAGAAAUGGGGAAGACACAAGAACCAGGAGCUGAUGGCUGUGCUGAGGAUGUGUGGUUGGAGGCAUCACCAGCCAACAGAGCACGGGGACAGGCACGGCUAUGAUGGGUGUGUGGGGAUGACCCCUUGGGAGCACUGAGUGCUUCCGUCCAUCAGAGGGAUAAAAU